rnacentral:lncRNA from 1 species
AUAAAACUUUAACUCUUCUUUUUCAUCUAUUAAAAAUGAGGUGAUUUAUCACAUUUUUUAGUUAGAAUUAUCCUCGAAGUUGUUUCCUUUCUUUAUCUUUUCACAAGCAUUUAAUUUUUUUUCUCCUUUUCAAUGUAAUUUCGUCGUAGUCUAACUUUAGUGUUUUUUUGUAUUUAUGGUGUGAUGUAUUUUGGCGUUCAUGUCUCC